rnacentral:lncRNA from 1 species
GUGCUUAAUAAUUUAUAAUUUAGUUAUCUUUCCAUAGCACUUAUCAAUGUUUUUAAACUGAUAAAUACAUAUUUUACCAUGAAAUUGAAUAAACAUUGAAUUAAAUUUAAAUUAUGGUAAGAGGUAAAUAAUUCUUUUCUUAAACCAGAUUCUGAACUUGUCUCUCUCUUGAUUGCAAUCUUUGAUGAAAACUACAGAAAAACAUAUAAGGAGAUUGUGUUGACCUGGCUAAGGUUAUAAUUAAAUGGGCUUUGGUCUUGAUUAGAUUAAAAGUUAUAAUUGUAUAGGAAAAUAUUUGAUUAACCCUCUUAUUAAGUCACGAUCCUGCUUUUAGCCCUGUUGAGUCCAGUCUGAAGCAGUUUAGCAAUAAUUAAAUUUAGAAGACAUUGGGCUCGAGAACAAGUUUAAGCAAAUCAACGAUCAUGACCCACCUCAAAUCCAAAACCAAUUCCCAACCAAUUCAUUAUCUGCCUUCAUAUAAAAUUUAUAAUAAUAAUAAUAACUAAAUAUUCACGAUUCACUGUUCAUAUGAACAGUGUCCAGUUAAAACACUGUUCAUAUGAACAGUGUAAAAAAAAUGCCGAAAACACUGUUCAUAUGAACAGUGUUCGUGAAAACACUGUUCAUGUGAACAGUGUUAGAGGAAAAAAUAAAUAAUACAUAAUAAA